UAUCAAACCAUCUCAUUCAACUUUGAGCAAAAGUAAAAGGGAUUGAAGAAGAUGGAUGAAGAAAUCACUCUUCCAUCAGGUAAAUCCUCGUGGCCGGAACUCGUAUUCAUCGAAUCUUCCAUUGCAGUACAUCUUAUAAAGAAAGAUAAUCCUGAUGUAAAGACAAUCGUGCUAUUAGCUGGAACUGGAGGGACUAAAGAUUUUAGACACGAUCGAGUUCGAGUUUUUGUUAAUAUCAACGAUAAAGUCGUUGAAGUUCCUCAAGUUGGUUGAAAUAAUUUAAAUAUCUAUGUUUGAAACAAUUAAAACGGUGAUUAAAUAAGGUAGAAUAUGUCAUAAUAUUUGAAUUAUAUGUAUGGUUUAUUUGAAUGUUUGUGUGGCAUUUAAAUAUUUGUAUGCUCAUGGAAGCAACUGUUCUUUAAUGGCUUCAAGCUUUAAUUUUAACGUGAAUAAUUCCAAUUCAUCUAGUACUCUAUUACCAAA